GUAGUACUCAAUCCGUUCGGAAUUACUUGUCACAAAAAUGGAUGUAUCUACAACUAAAAUACAUCUAGAUACAUUCAUUUCUUGGACGAGUAAUUCCGAACGGAGGGAGUAUGUA
rfam:Triticum aestivum genome assembly, contig: Triticum_aestivum_CS42_TGACv1_scaffold_261646_3DL